ACAUGGGAAGUAAUAUUCCGCAACCUCUAGUGUGGAGAUGCCUCACUGCUGACUUUGAUCCUUUUACUUCUGAUGGGGACUGGAAAGGAGAUGGUGGAACUGCUGAAGUGAGCAGGAGGCUGGAGAUGUACCUGUUCUCUGCUACUGCAAGAAAUUGGCAAAAUCAGAGGAAAGAAAGAAAUCUUUUUAAACUCCAUACAUCCAGAGCAUUUGAAAUUCCAAUGGAGAAUGGGAGGCUUAUCUCUGUGAAAGACACCUGAAACAUUGCUGAGCCAUUUCUCUGAAAGCUUCUGCUUCAGGAAUAGAGUUCCAGGAGGAAACACUCUAUGCAAGAGUACAAUUUGAGUAUGUGAGACAUCGUUAAAUGGUAACUUGUACACCAGCCAGCCUCUUCUAGGCAGACAGGCAGUGACUUCCUUGUUCAGGAAGCAUUGCCAACCCACAGUCUCUCCUGCCAAUUCCAUUCCAACAAGCUUGGUCCUGAUCGUCCUUCAGGAAUGAUUUGGCCCUUGUUUUUCUAAUAUCUACAGAAAUGAGAGCACAAAUUUCUGACUACAAACCUGAUUUCAAAUCUGAAAUGUUAAAAACGAUGGCUUCUCUGUCUUUUGGGAAGAUCAAGUGAAAUGUUAAAAAUUGAUCCAUUUAAAGAUGUUCACCAUUUUCUGAUAACACUUUUAAAGGGGAAAACAUUUCCCCCCGCUGUUUUGAAGGUGAAUAAAAUGAAGCACAG
rnacentral:lncRNA from 1 species